CCUACGUGUGGCAGCAGUGAGGAAUAUUGGUCAAUGGGAGAGAUCCUGAACCAGCCAAGCCGCGUGAGGGAAGACGGCCCUAUGGGUUGUAAACCUCUUUUGUCGGGGAACAAAACCCGGUACGUGUCCCGGACUGCAUGUAUCCUACGAACAAGCAUCGGCUAACUCCGUGCCAGCAGCCGAGGUAAUACGGAGGAUGCGAGCGUUAUCCGGAUUGAUUGGGUUUAAAGGGUGCGUAGGCGGUACGUUAAGUCAGCGGUAAAAUGGCGGGGCUCAACCCCGUCGAGCCGUUGAAACUGGCAGACUUGAGUGGGCUAGAAGUACGCGGAAUGCGCGGUGUAGCGGUGAAAUGCAUAGAUAUCGCGCAGAACUCCGAUUGCGAAGGCAGCGUACCGGAGCCAGACUGACGCUGAGGCACGAAAGCGUGGGGAUCGAACAGGAUUAGAUACCCUGGUAGUC
rnacentral:rRNA from 1 species